AGAGAAUGGAGGUCAGUCAAAGCAUUGCAUGUUCGCGGUUAGGAUCCACCUCCGCCACCAAAAGUAAAACCAAAUAAUCAAAGGACACUUCCUGGAAUAAGAUACUGUAAUAUGAGAGAGAGAGAAGUUCCCUUUCCAAAGCCUGAAUGUUUCUUGCUUUCACUGUCACAUGGUUACACUGAAAGGUGUAACUAGAGAAACAACAAGUCACCCAGUCAGGGUCCACAGAUUUAUGUCCUUGGGCACUUCAGUCUGCUUUCAGUUUGGGGAGGACAGAACCAGACCUUUCGGUCACUGGCAGCAGAGGAAAGGCCCCAUCUCCCAAGCUCCCUCUGAUAAAGAUGCUCUAUUUGUCCGCAGGUGGCCUAUACUUGAUGAAAGGAAGUUUUCAGUGGAAAAGGUGAGAAGACAUACAGAAGGGACCUUUCCAUCUUUGCAAGAUGUCAUUACCACUUCACAUCUGGGUCCUGGCACACACAGACCGCAGGACAUUUUAUUAUUGUUUCCAGAUGCAAAGAGGUAGAUCAACAGCCCACCAAGUUAACUUAUGUUGAUUGAGAUAUUUUUGGGUACAGGAAUCAUGCUGCUAAUCUGACUUCUGACAAGCAAGUUUUCAUGUUCUUUUCCUUCUUGGUGGGAAGUGCACACAGAGAUAUGAACUUUGCUCAGCCAGGACAGGAGUAGGGAUAGGCCUGAUCAUGUUCUUCCUUGUUACUAUGAAAACCUUAUCAGACACCUUGGGUGUCAUGACCAGAACAGGUAUGUUAGCUAUGGAAGGAGUAGCAUUGUGUAUGAGACCUCAAUGAAUCAGUUUCCAGCUAGUGGAUACGGUGCUUUUUCUGGUAGCCAUUCCCUGAAUUAAGUGGGCAAAGAUUCCUUCACAAUAAAAAUCUGAUUAUCUGCAUUCACCAACUGAGGGAUUAGAGAAUACAUAAUUGGAGCUAGAGCUCUGCUAAUGGAUGAUAUAGGG